GAUCAUGGCUCAGGAUGAACGCUGGCGGCGUGCCUAACACAUGCAAGUCGAACGAAGCAAUUGAAGGAAGUUUUCGGAUGGAAUUUAAUUGACUGAGUGGCGGACGGGUGAGUAACGCGUGGAUAACCUGCCUCACACUGGGGGAUAACAGUUAGAAAUGACUGCUAAUACCGCAUAAGCGCACAGUGCCGCAUGGUACGGUGUGAAAAACUCCGGUGGUGUGAGAUGGAUCCGCG
rnacentral:rRNA from 1 species